GUGGGGAAUAUUGGACAAUGGGCGAAAGCCUGAUCCAGCAAUGCCGCGUGCAGGAUGAAGGCCCUCGGGUUGUAAACUGCUUUUGUACGGAACGAAAAGCCUGGGGCUAAUAUCCCCGGGUCAUGACGGUACCGUAAGAAUAAGCACCGGCUAACUACGUGCCAGCAGCCGCGGUAAUACGUAGGGUGCAAGCGUUAAUCGGAAUUACUGGGCGUAAAGCGUGCGCAGGCGGUUUUGUAAGACAGUGGUGAAAUCCCCGGGCUCAACCUGGGAACUGCCAUUGUGACUGCAAGGCUAGAGUGCGGCAGAGGGGGAUGGAAUUCCGCGUGUAGCAGUGAAAUGCGUAGAUAUGCGGAGGAACACCGAUGGCGAAGGCAAUCCCCUGGGCCUGCACUGACGCUCAUGCACGAAAGCGUGGGGAGCAAACAGGAUUAGAAACCCGUGUAGUCC
rnacentral:rRNA from 1 species